CCCUCUUAAACUUCCAAAUGAAAGGGUGACCUAAACCUUUUAAACUUGUAUGAUCCGGCCUGUCUAGUAGUCAUAGUCUUUUAGCUUAUGUAGUUGUCGGCCUUCCUACACACAUACGUACGCCAGAAUGCCUCCUUGGUUCAGGACAAAACCAAGUCGAUACAUACGAUAGCGUAGUGGCGGAGCUAGGAUUUUCGUUAAGGGGUUCAUUAGUGAACAUACGAACUAACCGAAGGGGGUUCAACAUCUACUAUAUAUACAUAAAAAAUAAUUUUAACUAUGUAUAUAUAGCAUAAUUUUCCGACGAACCCCCUACUUGAAGGGUAGCUCCACCCCUGAGUCGAUAGGUGAAUUGCAACGAGCUACUAUGGUCAAUGGCGGAGGUAGAAUCUUAACUAAAGGGGUUCAAAAUUGAAAAAAGUAAGCAUACGAACUAGUCAAAGGGGGUUCAACGUCAAUUAUAUAUACAUAAAAAAUAAUUUUAACCAUAUAUAAAUAGUAUAAUUUUCCGUCGAAGGGCUCUAAUCAUAAGGUGGCUCCGCCCCUGACUAUGUAUGACUAUGUUGAAGCUUCAAACGUAGAGCUUUGAUACCAUUAAGUUUAGUUAUGUAAAUCUAAGUCGCACGGAUUCUUCACUUUCGAUGCCGCAUUCGUGUCGGAUUCUCCAAAAAUAAACUACUUUUAAAGAAUCCGACACACACCCACAGAUACUUUUGAACAGUCCGAGCAACGUAGAUGUACAUUGGCUGUAUAAAAAAUUUUAAAUUAUUUUUACGGUACUAUAAGACUCCAAUAUGUAAGAAUACACUCGACGUGUUGUUGUUGUCGUCGUCAUGGUUCUUUCAUAAAUGUUAGGAGUAAUUAUAACAUGAUAAGUAUAACAAGUAACCUGCUAUCGCAGGUCAAAUUAAAUUAUAAUAUAAAAAUUCUUUACACUGUCGAUAUAUAUCAUUUAAAU
rnacentral:lncRNA from 1 species